GGCAGAGAGAGAGCAGCUGCCUAUGGAAAGAGAGAUUAACAGCUGAGAGAGAGACUGGUGUGCCUUCGUGUCUUGAACCGUGAGCCAGAGACGGCUUUGAGACGGGAAAACGCAGAACUUUGCCACGCAGGCAUUCUGGGAUGGUGCCGUGAGCUGGAGAUUGGAGCUCUUCCCACAGGCUGGGAUCUGCAGCGACCAUCCACCACCGUUCCAGGGAAAAGGCUAAUUUCAGGCUCCAUUCCAAGCACAAAUCCUGCCUCUUUAGAAGAAAAGUGGCUGAGGCUUUGUGACUGCAGCCAAGACUACACAGCCAGGCCCUUGCUGGCUCAGUGAGGACUUCUCAGGAUCUCCUCAGGAACCUCCAAGAGCUCCAGAGCCACGAGCCAAAGGAAGAUGCAGAGUCAUGGCCAGCACGUCCUCCCCGGGGUCAGGGUUCUGCCAGGGCACACAUCCCCGUGGAGCUGCUUUGCAGAGAGGGGAG